UUGCUUUUCAUUUGUAUGGCGACCACUAUUAAUUUCAGUGUGCAUAUUUUAUUAAAAUCACCAGGUAUCGUUAAAAAUCUAUGCCAGUAAUUGUAUUUUGUCGCAGUGUGCUAUUAGGUUAAACUUGGCGCGUGCGCAAACACCCUGUUGAGUUGCUUUAGCGUUUUCCCUCGCUGACGCUGGGAAACUUCUGGCUUGCAGUGGACGACUGUGUGUGAGGCUUUACUGGUUAUGGCGGCUGUGUGUGAACUUCCAUGAACCGAGAACUAGCACAGCGGUUGGGGACCGAGACCGCGGGGAAGGUGUGUGGUCGUGGCUGUUGUGUUUGAUGUCGACCUGGACCAGCCAGUGGAGGAGGCUGCCACUGAAGAUGAGCUCGAGGACGGGACUCAGACCAGUGAAUAUAUGGAGCAGUGUGGCAGCUUUGAUUUUUUUGAGGGCUGUGAGAGGUUUGAAAUCUCUGAGGACAGUUUGAACACGGGCGCUGAGCGUGUUCACCCAAAGUGCUUCGAGCUGCUACGGAUCUUGGGGAAAGGUAGCUAUGGAAAGGUCAGCAUGAAAAGUCCCCUACUUGCUGCCAUGUUCUCCAGCCCCUUGCGUAUCAUAAGUAUGUAGGUAUAUCUACUUAUCCAUGACAUGAGUGUGUAGUGUGCAACUCGUUAGGAAUUCUGGGUAUUGUGCCAUUUUAAACUCUAUGCAGAAUGAAAAGUUUUUGCUGUCGUCAGUAUUGCUGUCAGUCAGUUGGUUGGUACUGGUCUUUAUGACUCACUAUCUUGAUGAUUGUCUUUAGUUCGAUUAUCUAAUUUUAAUGUUAAAACAAGUUUUCCAGGUUUGCAAGGUGUCUGGGGUGAACUCUGGGAAAAUAUUUGCAAUGAAGGUUUUGAAAAAGGUCUGGCACACUUCUGGUUUAAUUCUUAGGAAGCAUUCCUUUCCUUUAACUUUCCCAUGACAGUUGGCUUGGAAAGUUCAUAUUGUUUGUCCCCCUCAUUUCACAUUGUCAGCUUAGUUCACUGUGUUUGUUUAAUUUGUGUGUGGUCUGGGAAGCAUUUUCUCUUUCCCUGGAGAGUUUCGGCAGUGUUCAUGUUUAUAGUUUUAAGCAGCCUGUAUUUACGGUUGCCACUGUGUCGGUGGACCUGCUGUCUUAUUUCUUUUCUUUCACAGCUGAUGAUGAAGUAGCCUAAUGGGGCUUUGAAAUCAUAGUUGCCAAAUAAAACAUUUUCUCCCCCCUUUUAACAUUAAACAUGUCCACCCUAACACAUUAAUACUUGUAUUGCUUAGUUUGGCAGUGCCAGUCAAACACAUGUCUGAGAUUUUACAAAAUCACGUCUGGUGAAUGAGAGUGGCAGGCCAGCCAAAUCAUACACAAACAGACGUUUGUUAUUUUCAACAGUUGAGUCAAAAUUAUGUGGUCCAAAUUCCUUACAUUCCUGUCCCAAAUUGGAUUUGCAGUUCAUAGUUGUUUAAAGCAUGACCAUCUAUCAUUUAUCAUACAUCUCUGCCCCAGAGUGUACUAGGAAAAGAGUAACAUUACCAAAGUACUUACAACAUUGCUUUUGUCACAUGCCUAGAUUUUAGCCUCCAACCCUUUGUUUUGACAUCUUUUCCUAAACAUGGAACCAACGGUAAAUGAGUUCAUUCAUAUUUUUUUGUUUUGUAUUCAUUUACAGCCUAAUAAAAUUAGAUAGGUUUGUUCUUCACUGUUUUACUAAUUUAAAAAAAUGUAAUGGUCAUACCUUUGCCUUUUAUUUCACCACAGCGAGCCAAACUCUUCUUAUUUCACCAUCUUACAAGUAUGGUAGCAAUACCUUGGCAACCACCUGGUAUAGCACAGCAAUAGCAUACCAGCAGUUCAGCAACCACCAAGCAAUGUCCUAAAAAUGAGCUGGAAUCCCAUUGCGAUUUUGUAGCAACAUCAUCGCAACUACCUGGAAUUACUGUAUAAACCCAGUUAUCAGAAACAAUCAACUGUGUUUUGUCAAGCCAACUUAAAGUUCGUUCACAAACUUUCCUUUUCUAGUUUGCUUUUGGUCUCUUUGAACACGCUAUGAUUGUUUGUAAUGCUAAGGACACGCCAAAGCUGAGAGGAGCAUUUUGGAAGAGGUGAAACAGCCAUUCAUGGUAGAUCUUAUAUAUGCCUUUCAGAGAGGAGGCAAAUUAUAUCUCAUCCUUGAGUAGCUCAGUGGUGGGUUCAGCAGUGGAGCAGAGCAGAUUAAGUUAAACACUGUUGGAUUAAAUCUUAAUUUUUUUCACUGUAGUUGAUUUGAUUGAUUGUUAUUCUUAAAAGACUGUGCUGCAAGACUGAUCCAGUAACAACUUCGUUUUCUUUCUCAGGAGGGGAGCUUUCCAUGCAGCUUGAAAGAGGGGGGAUCUUCAGGAGGACACAGCGUACAGAAAUCUCCAUGGCCUUGGGUCACCUGCACUGAAAGAGAAAGGUAUUAUCUACAGAGACCUAAUACCAGAAAACAUCAUGCUCAUUAACAAUGUUGACUUCAGUCCAUGGUGGCACAAUGACCCACACCUUCUGUGGAACCUGACAUGGCCCCAGAGAUCCUGCGGAGGAGUGGUCAUAACCGAGCUGUGGACUGGUGGAGUUUGGGGACUUUUAUGUACGACAUGCUCACAGGUGCGGCAUCUGAUUAGGAUGUCCUGUGGCUGCCUCCCAUUGGAGAUUUACCAGGCACGGCCACCUGGGACAAGAUCUCAAGCGGUGACGCAUCCAAUUUGGCCUGGGAGUGGCUCAGGAUCCCCAGAAUGAGCUGGAGGAAGUUGCGGGGGACAGUUGUCUGCAAUUCUGUGUCCCUCAUUGAUAAUGCAAUGCUAGCAGGAUCAAGUGGUUUAAGAAGAAGAAGAAUAAAUGGUUUAAGAAAAACAAUAAAUGUUGAAAAGUGCAUAAUUAGUCUCAAACAGAGCAUCAUUCACCUAUUUAUAGCCUUGCUUAUGAAUGAGCCAGACUGAACUGAUUUAUUCAUAUCUUGCAGCCACAGUGUGCUUAAAGGGCAAGAUUAUUUUAAAUAAUUAUUCACAUUAAGAUGUAAGAUGUUGUAAAGCCAAGGUAAAAGAAUGCAAUGAAAAUUCAGGGAGGAGUAUGAAAAAAUUACUUUUUAAACUGUUGAUUUGCUGGAAAACAAUAAUAGCAAAAUUAUCAGGCAUGGUGGAAUGCAAAACGUUCAAAAGGUUUCUUUGACUACGUUCAGAUUACCAGGUUUAAGUACCAGAUUUUUUGCCCUAAUGUGACUCAGAUCUGAUGUUUUCAGGGCUGUGUGGACACAAAUUUAAACCUUUAGACCUGAGCCACUUUCAUAUGUGGUCCUAGAUCAAAUACGUAUCCGGUUUGUGACCAUGCCGCCUUAAUGUAAAAGCUCAAUUUGGAAUUCAUGUGCUGUUUUUCCACUGAGCAUGCGCCAUCAUUUAGUGUUACCAUGGCAACACUGCCGAACAGACGCUGACGCUAAAGCCUGUAAACAGUGGAAAAGAAACACAUCUCACCCUUUUAGUCUUCGUCUCACUGUAAUGCACCUUUGCAUCGAAGGCUCAUUCUGUUCACUAGUUGGUUAGCUGAUGAUGCCUGUGAUGCACGUGAUUCAUUAACGUGACGUUAAUGAAUAAGUAGUAGGAUAUGUCAUUUUGCAUGUUUCCUCAGAUGAUAUUUAUGUACGUUUGCACCCAAUUUGGUCAUAAUUAAAGCAACACUGAUAGACUUAUACUAUGUCAGAAAAAUCAAGAUUUUUUCAAAAUAAUUAUUUAUCUAGAGAUUUAUUACUAAAAUUCAAUUGAGUAGUUCAAAAAGCUAAUACUUGUAUUUGAAAAAAUGUCAGUGUAAAGAAUGGUUUGAAAUUAUGUUUUUAUCCAGGAUAUACCUAUUAAGAUUUAUUCUUUUUUAUGAAUAGCCAUUUUUUGUCAAGUACUUUUCAACCUAAAGGGAUUGUUUUGUUGUGGCCAUACUGUUCAAUACAAACAUUUAAUAUAAUUCUUGACCUAUAGACUCAAGACUAUAGACAUUUUAUUUAUUUAAUUUAUUUAUUUUAGAUGAUUUUUGUGGAAUUUUGCAAGGAUUCAGAUGAAAAAAAGUUUGUUGGUAUGUCUAGUGGUUCAGGAGAUACUAGCCAAAAUGUAAAACGUUGCACUGUAGCACCACCAUGUAUGACUAGAUGCACACACUGCAUCCACCCUCCUGGUUUGCUGUAUUAUGUCUCUUUGCAACAUGUUUUUCACAAAGAAAAGGAGAAAGAAUAAGGAAGAGAAUCUAAAUAAUUCUAGUAGGACCUCUGUCGCUUGGACACCCAAAGAAAAUCUCUAUUACAGUACUAAUUUUAGCUUGUGCCCUCUAUUGGAUUCUAGUAGUAUAUUAGCUUUAAGCUAACUGUGAUUCAAAUUAACAUUAUUUGACCAAACUAGAUUAAUGUGGCUUUUGAAGAAUGUAACAAACAUAUUAACACAUACUUUACCUUUUAUGUUGCAGUUUUAUAAAGAUUCUUAAAGAAAAGCACCUUGGCAAAUAGGCUGUAAUUCUUACUGAUGUUCAGUGAAAUAUGCUUAGGUUGACCUUUUUUUCUCAAAAACUUAGUUUUACUCAUUGGAAAUGAAAAAGUGAUUCGGUUGAUUCCACCAUCAGUUCCUAAUUAAGUUAGUGGUUAAUCUGAGAUGUUAGGCCUCCAGCUCAGCUCUGUUCCUGAUGUCCUAACCAGGGGGUAAUUGCUUGGCAGUAUCUACUUAUAUAUUACAGAAAUUUUUAUUGUGUGAGUAGCGUAAAUUUUUGCAGUAGUAUUAGAGGAAUAGAAACACUUUGAGCAGUGCUCAUGCAUGUUUUGUAACAGCAGGUUAACUGAAUGUUUGUUUAAGCAGGUGAGCAGGGCUUCAUUCCUACUAAUCUGUCAUUCUGGCACUGCAUGUGUGAGGUAAUUUAAUCAUGAUGUAAUCUUUAAACUCUUAAUAUGCUUUUACCAUGGAAACAAUAAAAAUAUUUUAUGAUAA